AGUGAACGCUGGCGGUAGGCCUAACACAUGCAAGUCGAACGGCAGCACAGUAAGAGCUUGCUCUUACGGGUGGCGAGUGGCGGACGGGUGAGGAAUACAUCGGAAUCUACUUUUUCGUGGGGGAUAACGUAGGGAAACUUACGCUAAUACCGCAUACGACCUACGGGUGAAAGCAGGGGAUCUUCGGACCUUGCGCGAUUGAAUGAGCCGAUGUCGGAUUAGCUAGUUGGCGGGGUAAAGGCCCACCAAGGCGACGAUCCGUAGCUGGUCUGAGAGGAUGAUCAGCCACACUGGAACUGAGACACGGUCCAGACUCCUACGGGAGGCUGCAGUGGGGAAUAUUGGACAAUGGGCGCAAGACUGAUCCAGCCAUACCGCGUGGGUGAAGAAGGCCUUCGGGUUGUAAAGCCCUUUUGUUGGGAAAGAAAAGCAGCAGGUUAAUACCCCGCUGUUCUGACGGUACCCAAAGAAUAAGCACCGGCUAACUUCGUG
rnacentral:rRNA from 1 species